rnacentral:rRNA from 2 species
CCUGGCUCAGGCUGGAUCACCUCCUUAGAGUUUGAUCCUGGCUCAGGCUGGAUCACCUCCUUAGAGUUUGAUUAACACGUGGGUAACCUACCCAUCAGAGGGGGAUAACACUUGGAAACAGGUGCUAAUACCGCAUAACAGUUUAUGCCGCAUGGCAUAAGAGUGAAAGGCGCUUUCGGGUGUCGCUGAUGGAUGGACCCGCGGUGCAUUAGCUAGUUGGUGAGGUAACGGCUCACCAAGGCCACGAUGCAUAGCCGACCUGAGAGGGUGAUCGGCCACACUGGGACUGAGACACGGCCCAGACUCCUACGGGAGGCAGCAGUAGGGAAUCUUCGGCAAUGGACGAAAGUCUGACCGAGCAACGCCGCGUGAGUGAAGAAGGUUUUCGGAUCGUAAAACUCUGUUGUUAGAGAAGAACAAGGACGUUAGUAACUGAACGUCCCCUGACGGUAUCUAACCAGAAAGCCACGGCUAACUACGUGCCAGCAGCCGCGGUAAUACGUAGGUGGCAAGCGUUGUCCGGAUUUAUUGGGCGUAAAGCGAGCGCAGGCGGUUUCUUAAGUCUGAUGUGAAAGCCCCCGGCUCAACCGGGGAGGGUCAUUGGAAACUGGGAGACUUGAGUGCAGAAGAGGAGAGUGGAAUUCCAUGUGUAGCGGUGAAAUGCGUAGAUAUAUGGAGGAACACCAGUGGCGAAGGCGGCUCUCUGGUCUGUAACUGACGCUGAGGCUCGAAAGCGUGGGGAGCAAACAGGAUUAGAUACCCUGGUAGUCCACGCCGUAAACGAUGAGUGCUAAGUGUUGGAGGGUUUCCGCCCUUCAGUGCUGCAGCAAACGCAUUAAGCACUCCGCCUGGGGAGUACGACCGCAAGGUUGAAACUCAAAGGAAUUUGACGGGGGCCCGCACAAGCGGUGGWGCAUGUGGUUUUAAUUCGAAGCAACGCGAAGAACCUUACCAGGUCUUGACAUCCUUUGACCACUCUAGAGAUAGAGCUUUCCCUUCGGGGACAAAGUGACAGGUGGUGCAUGGUUGUCGUCAGCUCGUGUCGUGAGAUGUUGGGUUAAGUCCCGCAACGAGCGCAACCCUUAUUGUUAGUUGCCAUCAUUUAGUUGGGCACUCUAGCGAGACUGCCGGUGACAAACCGGAGGAAGGUGGGGAUGACGUCAAAUCAUCAUGCCCCUUAUGACCUGGGCUACACACGUGCUACAAUGGGAAGUACAACGAGUCGCUAGACCGCGAGGUCAUGCAAAUCUCUUAAAGCUUCUCUCAGUUCGGAUUGCAGGCUGCAACUCGCCUGCAUGAAGCCGGAAUCGCUAGUAAUCGCGGAUCAGCACGCCGCGGUGAAUACGUUCCCGGGCCUUGUACACACCGCCCGUCACACCACGAGAGUUGGUACCCCCCCUUAGAGUUUGAUCCUGCGCUCAGGCUGCGAUCCACCCUCCCUUUAGAUGUUUGAUCCUGGCUCAGGCUGGAU